AUUGAACGCUGGCGGCAUGCUUUACACAUGCAAGUCGAACGAGUGGCGAACGGGUGAGUAAUAUAUCGGAACGUACCGAGGAAUGGGGGAUAACAAAUCGAAAGAUUGGCUAAUACCGCAUAUUAUUCGCGCGGCCGAUAACUGAUUAGCUAGUUGGGGGGGUAAAGGCCUACAAAGGCGACGACCAGUAGCGGGUCUGAGAGGACGAAUCGCCACACCGGGGAUGGGGCACGGCCCAGAUUGCUAAGGGAGGCAGCAGGGGGGAAUUUUGGGACAUGGGGGGAAGCCGUGUUCAGCCAUGCCGGGUGUAUGAAGAAGGCCUUCCGGGUUUAAAAUAACUUUUUUAGGGAAGCGGUACCUAAAGAAUAAGCACCGGCUAACUACGUGCCAGCCGCCGCGGUAAUUC
rnacentral:rRNA from 1 species